GGGUUGUGAGGUUAAGCGACUAAGCGUACACGGUGGAUGCCCUGGCAGUCAGAGGCGAUGAAGGACGUGCUAAUCUGCGAUAAGCGUCGGUAAGGUGAUAUGAACCGUUAUAACCGGCGAUUUCCGAAUGGGGAAACCCAGUGUGAUUCGUCACACUAUCAUUAACUGAAUCCAUAGGUUAAUGAGGCGAACCGGGGGAACUGAAACAUCUAAGUACCCCGAGGAAAAGAAAUCAACCGAGAUUCCCCCAGUAGCGGCGAGCGAACGGGGAGCAGCCCAGAGCCUGAAUCAGUGUGUGUGUUAGUGGAAGCGUCUGGAAAGGCGCGCGAUACAGGGUGACAGCCCCGUACACAAAAAUGCACAUACUGUGAGCUCGAUGAGUAGGGCGGGACACGUGGUAUCCUGUCUGAAUAUGGGGGGACCAUCCUCCAAGGCUAAAUACUCCUGACUGACCGAUAGUGAACCAGUACCGUGAGGGAAAGGCGAAAAGAACCCCGGCGAGGGGAGUGAAAAAGAACCUGAAACCGUGUACGUACAAGCAGUGGGAGCACAGAGCAAUCUGUGUGACUGCGUACCUUUUGUAUAAUGGGUCAGCGACUUAUAUUCUGUAGCAAGGUUAACCGAAUAGGGGAGCCGAAGGGAAACCGAGUCUUAACUGGGCGUUAAGUUGCAGGGUAUAGACCCGAAACCCGGUGAUCUAGCCAUGGGCAGGUUGAAGGUUGGGUAACACUAACUGGAGGACCGAACCGACUAAUGUUGAAAAAUUAGCGGAUGACUUGUGGCUGGGGGUGAAAGGCCAAUCAAACCGGGAGAUAGCUGGUUCUCCCCGAAAGCUAUUUAGGUAGCGCCUCGUGAAUUCAUCUCCGGGGGUAGAGCACUGUUUCGGCAAGGGGGUCAUCCCGACUUACCAACCCGAUGCAAACUGCGAAUACCGGAGAAUGUUAUCACGGGAGACACACGGCGGGUGCUAACGUCCGUCGUGAAGAGGGAAACAACCCAGACCGCCAGCUAAGGUCCCAAAGUCAUGGUUAAGUGGGAAACGAUGUGGGAAGGCCCAGACAGCCAGGAUGUUGGCUUAGAAGCAGCCAUCAUUUAAAGAAAGCGUAAUAGCUCACUGGUCGAGUCGGCCUGCGCGGAAGAUGUAACGGGGCUAAACCAUGCACCGAAGCUGCGGCAGCGACGCUUAUGCGUUGUUGGGUAGGGGAGCGUUCUGUAAGCCUGUGAAGGUGUACUGUGAGGUAUGCUGGAGGUAUCAGAAGUGCGAAUGCUGACAUAAGUAACGAUAAAGCGGGUGAAAAGCCCGCUCGCCGGAAGACCAAGGGUUCCUGUCCAACGUUAAUCGGGGCAGGGUGAGUCGACCCCUAAGGCGAGGCCGAAAGGCGUAGUCGAUGGGAAACAGGUUAAUAUUCCUGUACUUGGUGUUACUGCGAAGGGGGGACGGAGAAGGCUAUGUUGGCCGGGCGACGGUUGUCCCGGUUUAAGCGUGUAGGCUGGUUUUCCAGGCAAAUCCGGAAAAUCAAGGCUGAGGCGUGAUGACGAGGCACUACGGUGCUGAAGCAACAAAUGCCCUGCUUCCAGGAAAAGCCUCUAAGCAUCAGGUAACAUCAAAUCGUACCCCAAACCGACACAGGUGGUCAGGUAGAGAAUACCAAGGCGCUUGAGAGAACUCGGGUGAAGGAACUAGGCAAAAUGGUGCCGUAACUUCGGGAGAAGGCACGCUGAUAUGUAGGUGAAGCGACUUGCUCGUGGAGCUGAAAUCAGUCGAAGAUACCAGCUGGCUGCAACUGUUUAUUAAAAACACAGCACUGUGCAAACACGAAAGUGGACGUAUACGGUGUGACGCCUGCCCGGUGCCGGAAGGUUAAUUGAUGGGGUCAGCGCAAGCGAAGCUCUUGAUCGAAGCCCCGGUAAACGGCGGCCGUAACUAUAACGGUCCUAAGGUAGCGAAAUUCCUUGUCGGGUAAGUUCCGACCUGCACGAAUGGCGUAAUGAUGGCCAGGCUGUCUCCACCCGAGACUCAGUGAAAUUGAACUCGCUGUGAAGAUGCAGUGUACCCGCGGCAAGACGGAAAGACCCCGUGAACCUUUACUAUAGCUUGACACUGAACAUUGAGCCUUGAUGUGUAGGAUAGGUGGGAGGCUUUGAAGUGUGGACGCCAGUCUGCAUGGAGCCGACCUUGAAAUACCACCCUUUAAUGUUUGAUGUUCUAACGUUGACCCGUAAUCCGGGUUGCGGACAGUGUCUGGUGGGUAGUUUGACUGGGGCGGUCUCCUCCUAAAGAGUAACGGAGGAGCACGAAGGUUGGCUAAUCCUGGUCGGACAUCAGGAGGUUAGUGCAAUGGCAUAAGCCAGCUUGACUGCGAGCGUGACGGCGCGAGCAGGUGCGAAAGCAGGUCAUAGUGAUCCGGUGGUUCUGAAUGGAAGGGCCAUCGCUCAACGGAUAAAAGGUACUCCGGGGAUAACAGGCUGAUACCGCCCAAGAGUUCAUAUCGACGGCGGUGUUUGGCACCUCGAUGUCGGCUCAUCACAUCCUGGGGCUGAAGUAGGUCCCAAGGGUAUGGCUGUUCGCCAUUUAAAGUGGUACGCGAGCUGGGUUUAGAACGUCGUGAGACAGUUCGGUCCCUAUCUGCCGUGGGCGCUGGAGAACUGAGGGGGGCUGCUCCUAGUACGAGAGGACCGGAGUGGACGCAUCACUGGUGUUCGGGUUGUCAUGCCAAUGGCACUGCCCGGUAGCUAAAUGCGGAAGAGAUAAGUGCUGAAAGCAUCUAAGCACGAAACUUGCCCCGAGAUGAGUUCUCCCUGACUCCUUGAGAGUCCUGAAGGAACGUUGAAGACGACGACGUUGAUAGGCCGGAUGUGUAAGCGCAGCGAUGCGUUGAGCUAACCGGUACUAAUGAACCGUGAGGCUUAACCUUACAACGCCGAAGGUGUUU
rnacentral:rRNA from 1 species